CUACUUCAUCCCCUGAUUUAAAUUUUGGGAACAAGUAAAAAAGCCUUGGCAGAUAGAGAACAGUGAUUACAAGUUACCUGCAAUAUGUACCAAGCCAAGAAAAGUGGGUCAUCUUUGGAUGCCAACCAUUUAAUGUUGAAUGAAAACCUUCGAGACAACUAGUUUGUGCUUCUGAAGAUAGUUUUUUAACAUCUUUGAGAACAGAUUUUUUCAACAGAAUGGAGGAAAGUCGCUGAUAUGAUUUAGUUCCUUAAAAAGAAUACAAUCCCAUCUGAAAAGUGCCUUUAAUAUUGUUUUGGAAAGUCCUUUGCAAACAUGCCACAAAUCAUUGAAGUGCUGGGUUUCCUUCUCAGAUGUUCGAAUCCACUUUGCAAUCCCUUUGUGACGAUCGCUAAUAAAUAUUGGAAUUUGUAGUCCACUAUCUUGAAGAAACUUGAAGCAUCUUUGAGCUCCAUCCAACUCCAUGGCAUUGCUACUACCAGACUGAUUUGACUAUACUGUUUGUACAACUUUUUCCGUUGGGCCAACCAGCAACACAAUAUUGUCCUCCUCGAUGAUUUUUUGCAGAAUUUUGCCUACUCGCCAUAUUUUAACUUGCGGUGUAUCGUUACGUUUGACUAACUUAAUAAAAAUUAUUCUCCUUAUAUUAUGUGCGUUGUGAUAAUAUUGCAUGGGUUUUAAAACCACAGACUACGUCAAGGAUGCGACACCCAUAUGAUAAGAAUGAUAAGUCUAAUCCAGAAGUUUAUAAAAGUAGUUUACAUUGGAUGAUUGGAAAUAAGCGCGUUACAGUUAGUUUCUGAUAACAUUGCGUGUGUGUUAAAACCGCAGACUUCGUCAAGGAUGCGGCACCCAGUUUAUUGAGAAAUAUAAGUUAAUUCAAGAAGUUUA